rnacentral:rRNA from 1 species
UUGGAGGGCAAGUCUGGUGCCAGCAGCCGCGGUAAUUCCAGCUCCAAUAGCGUAUAUUAAAGUUGUUGCAGUUAAAAAGCUCGUAGUUGAAUUUCGGGAUCAGUACGCCGGUCGUGCCUUCGGUAUGCACUGGUGUCACUGGUUUCUCCCUUCUGAAGAACCAUCAUGCCAUUCAGUUGGUGUGGCGGGGAAUCAGGACUGUUACUUUGAAAAAAUUAGAGUGUUUAAAGCAGGCUCGCGCUUGAAUACAUUAGCAUGGAAUAAUGAAAUAGGACGUUUGACCCUAUUUUGUUGGUUUCUAGGAUCGACGUAAUGAUUAAUAGGGAUAGUUGGGGGCAUUAGUAUUCAAUUGUCAGAGGUGAAAUUCUUGGAUUUAUUGAAGACUAACUACUGCGAAAGCAUUUGCCAAGGAUGUUUUCAUUAAUCAAGAACGAAAGUUAGGGGAUCGAAGACGAUCAGAUACCGUCGUAGUCUUAACCAUAAACUAUGCCGACUAGGGAUCGGACGGUGUUAUAUUUUGACCCGUUCGGCACCUUACGGGAAAC